UACGAAGGGGGCUAGCGUUGUUCGGAAUCACUGGGCGUAAAGCGCGUGUAGGCGGCCCGGUAAGUCCGCUGUGAAAGUCCAGGGCUCAACCCUGGGAUGCCGGUGGAUACUGUCGGGCUCGAGUCCGGAAGAGGCGAGUGGAAUUCCUGGUGUAGCGGUGAAAUGCGCAGAUAUCAGGAGGAACACCAAUGGCGAAGGCAGCUCGCUGGGACGUGACUGACGCUGAGACGCGAAAGCGUGGGGAGCAAACAGG
rnacentral:rRNA from 1 species